rnacentral:rRNA from 1 species
CCUACGGGUGGCAGCAGUGAGGGAUAUUGGUCAAUGGGGGAAACCCUGAACCAGCAACGCCGCGUGAGGGAAGACGGCUCUCCGAUUUGAAACCUCUGUCCUCUGUGAAGAUGAUUACGGUAGCAGAGGAGCAAGCUCCGGCUCACUACGUGCCAGCAGCCGCGGUACUACGUAGGGAGCAAGCGUUGUCCGGAUUUACUGGGUGUAAAGGGUGCGUAGGCGGCUUUGCAAGUCAGCAGUGAAAUCCAUGGGCUUAACCCAUGAACUGCUUUUGAAACUGCAGAGCUGGAGUGGAGUAGAGGUAGGCGGAAUGCCCGGUGUAGCGGUGAAAUGCGUAGAGAUCGGGAGGAACACCAGUGGCGAAGGCGGCCUGCUGGGGUGUAACUGACGCUGAGGCACGAAAGCGUGGGUAGCAAACAGGAUUAGAUACCCCGGUAGUC